AGAGAGAGACAUGCGCGCAUAUCAAUAAGCGGAGGAAAAGAAACUAACAAGGAUUCCCCUAGUAACGGCGAGUGAAGCGGGAAGAGCUCAAAUUUGAAAUCUUAAAGGGUUUCCCUUUACGAAUUGUAGUUUAAAGAAGUGUUUUCUGUUGAGGUUUUGGUAAAAGUUCUUUGGAAUAGGACAUCAUAGAGGGUGAGAAUCCCGUAUUUGACCUUUACUUUCAACUUUGUGAUACACUUUCAAAGAGUCGGAUUGUUUGGGAAUGCAGUCCAAAAUGGGUGGUAAAUUUCAUCUAAAGCUAGAAUAUUGGCGAGAGACCGAUAGCGAACAAGUACCGUGAGGGAAAGAUGAAAAGAACUUUGAAAAGAGAGUUAAACAGUACGUGAAAUUGUCAAAAGGGAAGCGUUUGACACCAGUGUUGUUUUUCUGAAAAUCAAUUAAAGAACUGUUUAUGCUAAGCUGUUUAGACUUUAUCAGCUAUACUGUUUAGUUUUGAGCUUUUCUUUAAUGCACUUUUCAGUUAACAAGUCAACAUCAAUUUCUUUUGCUGAUAAAAAAGCUUGAGGAAGGUGGCUUGAGAUUCGUCUUAAGUGUUUAUAGCCUCUUGCCUAUGCAGUCGGAGAGAUUGAGGUCUGCAGCGUAGAUCCUUCGGGGCUAAAUGCAUUUGUGCUAAGUUAUAGCAUUUUAUAGACAACUUGUUGACUAUGAUUUGUCUUGUAGCUUACUCGCUUAUGUUAUUUUACCUACGCUUAGGAUGUUGAGCGCAUGUCUCUCUCU
rnacentral:rRNA from 1 species